GUGGGGAAUUUUGGACAAUGGGCGCAAGCCUGAUCCAGCAAUGCCGCGUGCAGGAAGAAGGCCUUCGGGUUGUAAACUGCUUUUGUCAGGGAAGAAAUCUUCUGGGCUAAUACCCCGGGAGGAUGACGGUACCUGAAGAAUAAGCACCGGCUAACUACGUGCCAGCAGCCGCGGUAAUACGUAGGGUGCGAGCGUUAAUCGGAAUUACUGGGCGUAAAGCGUGCGCAGGCGGCUUUGCAAGACAGAUGUGAAAUCCCCGGGCUCAACCUGGGAAAUGCAUUUGUGACUGAAAGGCUAGAGUACGGCAGAGGGGGAUGGAAUUCCGCGUGUAGCAGUGAAAUGCGUAGAUAUGCGGAGGAACACCAAUGGCGAAGGCAAUCCCCUGGGCCUGUACUGACGCUCAUGCACGAAAGCGUGGGGAGCAAACAGGAUUAGAAACCCGUGUAGUCC
rnacentral:rRNA from 1 species